AUGUACAUCCAGUUGAUCGGACUGGGUGGACUUCUCAAGACACUUAGCAUCAAAAUUAGACGUGUACUGUGCAUGGCCAUCGCUAAUUCAUAUGAUGCAGAGCAGGAUGCCUUUAUCAUCAAUGGAAGACCAUGUAGGAUCAAACUAGAAGAUGUAUCGCAUAUAACAGGCACGCCCUGCCAUGAGAAGAAGCACGUCCCUUCAGAUCUUGAUGAUAAUAUGGAGUUGUGGAAGAAACUAACGCUUGACUAUCUUAUGGAUAGCGUGAAGAAUUUUGUAAAUGGUGAGGCAAUUCUAGAGGGGAAUCUAUCACUGCCGCAGACAUGGUACUAUGAGAAGUUCAGAGUGCACCAAUUGGACUCUAGCAUCUCAUAUGAAUCAAGGUUAAGGCCGUUGAUCCAGAACUAG
rnacentral:rRNA from 1 species